GCGGGAAUGAGCUCAAAUUUGAAAGCUGGCGGCCAUGCUCCGCGUUGUAAUCUAGACAAGUGUUUUCCGUGUCUGGACCAUAAAUAUGUUCCUUGCCAAUGGAUGUCAUAAAGGGUGAGAACCCCGUACAUGCUAUGGACCCCCAGUGCUUUGUGAUACACUUUCUAACAGUCAAGUUGGUUGGUAAUGCAUGUCAAAAUGGGUGGUAAAUUCCAUCUAAAGCUAAAUAUUGGGGAGAGACCGAUAGCAAACAAGUACCGUGAGGGAAAGAUGAAAAGCACUUUGUAAAGAGAGUUAAACAGUACGUGAAAUUGUCUAAAGGGAAGCGCUUCAUGUCAGACAUGGCUUUGAAUGUUCAGCCUUUAGGUGUAUUCAUUUUUUGUCACGCCAGCAUCUAUUUUGAACGUCGGAUAAGGGUAGAAAGAACGUAGCAUACUCUCGGGUAUGUGUUAUAUCUUUUUACUGGAUACGACGAUCGGGAUCGAGGUUCGCAGCACACCCUUUUUUGGGCAGGUCUUCGGACACUUUUUGUGCUUAGGAUGCUGGCGUAGUGGCUUGAAGCCAC
rnacentral:rRNA from 1 species